AGCCUGACCUGCCCUUAUUGUUAGGUCAUCCUAUUUCGGAGCAUGGUCAGGUUCUUAAGGUAUGUGCCAGAACAGCCGUGGGUCUACCUUUUUCAGGAAUUAGAUGAUCGUUGGUGAAAUAGCGUAUAGGUCUGGGUGGGAUGAUACGAAAUAGAGCAGUUGCCAAUUGGCAUGCGAAACCGAGAAGGAACUUCUUCACUCAAAUUCCUGUGUGAAAGAGCCAAAAUGAUUUAGCGUUUUAGUGUAGAGAGAGGCCUUUCGGGUGAACGAACUCAGAUGCAGCGCCUUUACGUAGUUCCGUAUAUUGAUAAGGAUAGGAACCUACCUAAUAAGAGGAUGCCCCAUUUUCCCAAACCUAUACCUCUCUCAAAAAAUGGGGUUUUAACCUAGUAGGGGUGUGAGGGCGCAGAUAGAGAGUUUUUGGGUAGGAGACUACUUGCCAAGUUCGGUAGGAAAGAGGCCUUAGACCAGGCUUUUUUAGGACGAGAAAGGGCCACGAGAGAGGUUUUCCUAUUUAUUAUCCGUCGCUAUCAUCAAUCGGUAAUGGAAUAAAUAAGAGAG